rnacentral:lncRNA from 1 species
GCUUGUCCAAGCAGUGUGGUGUAGGAGAAAAUAGGCUGACCUUUGAGCCAUGGAACCUAGCUCAAAUCGUGCUCUUCCACUUACUUCUAGGGGAACCUUGACUAAUUUAUUAAUUUCUCUGUGACAACUCAAAAACACAUGAAUUUAAAUUUAAAAUUUAAAAUUAUUUUUUAAGUUAGUUUUCUAUCUAACAACUGUCUACUGAAUCGUCAGUGUACUGCAGAAGAAGGAAGACACAUUUCAGAGUCUGAGUGAUCAUUUGGAGCUCUUAGUCACUACCUGCGUGACUUUGGCCUUCUUCCAAAGAUGCAGAAUGGCUACAAGUCAUGGGGUACUAUGGUGCCUAAUAAAUACAUUUGUUGGUCAUUGAAAAUGUAUUAUUAAGGACAUGAAUUGAUGACUUUAACCUAGUUACCAUUUUUACUCACGACCUACAACGGAGU